UGCUCCCUGGCCCAGCUGGUUAAGGCGCACGACUGUUAAGCGCAAAUCGUGAGAUCAAGAGUUCGACUCUCUUGGGAGCAG